rnacentral:lncRNA from 1 species
UAUUAAUUAUUAUUAUUAUUAUUAUAUAUAUAUAAAUCGUAAUCGUAAGAGAGUCUAAACAAAAAAUGAAAACUAACAUAAGUAAGUAAAACUACAGCGGCUAUUGUUUAUUAAGAAAAAGAAAUUAUCUAUAAAAGAAAACAAAAAAAAAGAAACAAAAAAAAAUACAAUUAAACAAAGUAGGUCUAUCCUUUUCAUUUCAUAGCCAUUUUCUUUUUCUUCACAAUUUGAAUCCAAUACUUAUCAUCUUUUCCGUGCCAUCUUUUCCUUAUCAUUGUUCCUUGUUACAGAAAAUCCCAUAUAAACGAAUGGUCAUUUUCAACGUAAGAAGUUUGAAAGCUGGAAUUUCCAAUGUUGCUACUAAAGAAGAAAAAACUGAUCCUUCCAUCCUAGCCAUCCUGUUUUUCUCCAGGUUAAUUAAUUAAUUGAUUAAUUACAUUUAAUUCCUUUUGCUUUCCACACGUUCUUAUCCUUACCAUCUCGUUCCUUGUUACAGAAUAUUUUUAGAAAAAUACGAAAAAAUAGUACAAAUCUGAACAGGAAAGAAGGUGAGCUUGAAAUUUACAGUUUGAAAAAAAGGAAAUUGAAGAAAAAGAAUUAGUAAGCAAGGUGUACAGGUGCUUCGUGAGAUUUCGAGACUCGGUGAUGCGCGCUUCUUUGGGAGAAUUCAGAAACAGGUGGCCUUCUAUUGGUAAUUCAACGACAGUGGCGCCGAAGGUUCGCCGAGUAACAAAUUUCAAAUGUCGGUAAUGGAGAACACUCGAAUAGCAAAGUAUUUUUCUGUUUGACUUGGAAAAAUCUAAAG